AUUGAACGCUGGCGGAAUGCUUUACACAUGCAAGUCGAACGGCAGCACGGGGCAACCUGGUGGCGAGUGGCGAACGGGUGAGUAAUACAUCGGAACGUGCCCAAUCGUGGGGGAUAACGUAGCGAAAGUUACGCUAAUACCGCAUACGAUCUACGGAUGAAAGCGGGGGAUCGCAAGACCUCGUGCGAAUGGAGCGGCCGAUGUCAGAUUAGGUAGUUGGUGGGGUAAAGGCUCACCAAGCCAACGAUCUGUAGCUGGUCUGAGAGGACGACCAGCCACACUGGAACUGAGACACGGUCCAGACUCCUACGGGAGGCAGCAGUGGGGAAUUUUGGACAAUAGGCACAAGCCUGAUCCAGCCAUUCCGCGUGCAGGAUGAAGGCCUU
rnacentral:rRNA from 1 species